rnacentral:rRNA from 1 species
UGAGGAAUUUUGCGCAAUGGGGGAAACCCUGACGCAGCAACGCCGCGUGAGUGAUGAAGGCUUUCGGGUCGUAAAGCUCUGUCAAGUGGGAAGAAACCAUAUGGUGUUAAUACCGCCAUGUGCUGACGGUACCACUGAAGGAAGCACCGGCUAACUCCGUGCCAGCAGCCGCGGUAAUACGGGGGGUGCGAGCGUUAUUCGGAAUUACUGGGCGUAAAGAGCGCGUAGGCGGUCUUUUAAGUCAGGUGUGAAAGCCCGGGGCUCAACCCCGGAAGUGCACUUGAAACUAAGAGACUUGAGUAUGGGAGAGGGAAGUGGAAUUCCUGGUGUAGCGGUGAAAUGCGUAGAUAUCAGGAGGAACAUCGGUGGCGAAGGCGACUUCCUGGACCAAUACUGACGCUGAGGCGCGAAGGCGUGGGGAGCAAACA